rnacentral:pre_miRNA from 1 species
AAUUUUUCGAAUUCGUGCAGAGAUUUCAUCAGACACCAACCCAUUAGGUCUGACCAGACUUCCAAGAUAAGUGAAGUU